UCGAUUCGUUAUCGUAUCGACCUGAACACCUGUUAAUUUCAUGUCGUAUCGUGUCGAGUUAUCGGGUCGUGUCAAGAAUUGCCAGGCCUAAUAUACCCAUGUUUUGAUACAAUAAUUUUUUUGGUUAAUUUUGAUGAAUGUACCCAUGUAUAUAUAUAUAUAACACACAGACAAUAGUAUAAUUAUAUUUUAAUAUUUUUAAAACAAAUUAUGGUUUUUUAUUUAAAAUCUCAUUUAUAUAAACAACUAAAAUUUCUAAUUUUUAAUUUAAAAAAUAUAGUAACGUACAUAUAAAUAAAUUAUCACAAUAAUUUUAGGGACCUCGAUAAAAAAUUAAAAAUCAACAAGGUUUCAAUCAAAGAAUAUUUAUAGCUAAGGACCGUAUCUAAAGUCUCUCAUUUUAUAAUUAUGAGUUUGAUUUUGAAAUUUUUAAAACAAAUAUAGCCUUUAAGUUUGUAUUUUGAGAUUUGUAGUUUUUUUAGAAACAAAAUGGUUCCAUUAAACAAAAUCAGGUACAUGAUUCGUGAAAGAGGACGUCUUGAAUAAGAUCAAGUGUAACCUAUUUACACGCUGUCGCACCACUAAGUGAAAGUGCGAACUUAGCAAGUUUAUGGUGCUCCAUUAUAAUUUAUAGGAACAAACUAAAAACUAUUGUCGUGCAUUUGGAUUGCCAAUUCUUUAUCAUCAUACACUAACAAUCCAAGGCCUGAGCAAUCCCCAAUUUUGUUGUUUAACGUUGCAAGUGAUAAAAGCGAACCCCUCCCAAAAACCACCGUUUUCAAACCAUGAUCGCACGCCGAUUGUAGCCCAGCACUUAUGGUUAACAGCUCAUCAGCACAAUCCCUCUUCCUAAGCUCCAGCAGCAACAAAUUGCCCUGCCCAGAUAUUGUUCAUUUUAUUUAUUAGUUUUCUUUCGAGGUUAUUUGCUACCGACCGUUGGGACGGAGUCAUUUGAUUGUUUUGUGAUUAGGGAUGGGCAAAUACCUAUUGGUUAUGGAUAACCGCGGCUAUCCGCCAAUUUAAAUUAAACGGUUACGGUUAUGGGUAACCGUUUAGAUAAAUAAACGGUUAUGGAUAUAACCGUUUACCCGUGAAAUUUAAAUGGGCGGUUAUGAGUAUUAACUGCGGUUAUAAACGGGUAACCGUUUACCUAUUUAUUUUAUAUAUGUAAAACUAACACAAACCAUGUUCUCGAUCCAAUAAUACUUAGCACCCAAUAAAUUAGCAAGGAAUUCAUCGGUCAUUCUCUGAAUAACACUACUACAGGAAUGAUGAUUCUCAUUAUCAAGGAAUUGGCCAAAUUAAUUUAAAUUCCUUGCGGGUAAUCGUGAAAUUGAAAGAAAUGCUUUGACAUAAAUGUCUUCUAAAUAAUUUUUGUAACCCAAUAAUACUUAGCAAAUAUUAUAUUUACCUUCAUUGAUAACAGUUAAAAAUAUCGUUCGUAAACUAUUAUUUCAAUU
rnacentral:lncRNA from 1 species